rnacentral:hammerhead_ribozyme from 1 species
CAUUACUGACGAGUCCCAAACAGGACGAAACAGUUGUCCUGGUG